rnacentral:RNase_P_RNA from 1 species
AGCAGGACAGGUCGUCGCUGCGCCGUUCUCCAUGCGGGAAUGGCGGGGAGGAAAGUCCGGGCUUCAGAGGGCAGAGUGCUGGAUAACGUCCAGGAGGAGUGAUCCUCGGAGAGCGCCACAGAAAGCAAACCGCCACCUCCGGGUGGUAAGGGUGAAACGGUGGAGUAAGAGACCACCAGUCGGUACGGUGACGUAUCGAGCUAGGCAAGCCCCAUUCGAAGCAAGACCAAAUAGGGAAGCGGGUCGGCCCGGCCAACGCUUCCGGGUAGGUUGCUUGAGGGUGCAGGCAACUGCACUCCUAGAGGAAUGACGACCACCUGCUGUGGCAGUGCGCCGCAGCAGGGACAAAACCCGGCUUACAGUUCAGCUCC